rnacentral:rRNA from 1 species
AGUACAGACGAGUUUGAUCAUGGCUCAGGAUGAACGCUAGCUGGAGGCUUAAUACAUGCAAGUCGAGCGGGAUUGGGUAGCAAUACCCAUGAGAGCGGCGCACGGGUGAGUAACGCGUACACGACCUACCUCUAACAGGGGGAUAGCCCUGGGAAACUGGGAUUAAUACCGCAUAUAAUUCUGAAUAAUAAAGGUUUGGAAUGAAAGCUGAGGCGGUUAGAGAUGGGUGUGCGUCUGAUUAGCUAGUUGGUGGGGUAACGGCCUACCAAGGCGAUGAUCAGUAGGGGGCGUGAGAGCGUGGUCCCCCCACACGGGUACUGAGACACGGACCCGACUCCUACGGGAGGCAGCAGUAAGGAAUAUUGGUCAAUGGGCGAAAGCCUGAACCAGCCAUCCAGCGUGCAGGAAGAAGGCCCUAUGGGUUGUAAACUGCUUUUAUCAGGGAAGAAACCUCUGGAUUUACUCCGGAGCUGACGGUACCUGAAGAAUAAGCACCGGCUAACUCCGUG